rnacentral:rRNA from 1 species
UACAUGGGGUGCAAACGUUGCUCGGAAUUAUUGGGCGUAAAGCGCACGUAGGCGGUUCGUUAAGUUGGAUGUGAAAGCCCUCGGCUCAACUGAGGAAGUGCACCCGAAACUGGCGAGCUUGAGUACGAAAAGAGGAUCGCGGAAUUCCCGGUGUAGAGGUGAAAUUCGUAGAUAUCGGGAGGAACACCAGUGGCGAAGGCGGCGAUCUGGGAAGAUACUGACGCUGAGGUGCGAAAGCGUGGGGAGCAAACAGG